GGGCCCGCACAAGCGGUGGAGCAUGUGGUUUAAUUCGAUGAUACGCGAGGAACCUUACCAGGGCUUAAAUGUAAGUUGCAUUAGUUAGAGAUAGCUAUUUCUUCGGACUACUUACAAGGUGCUGCAUGGUUGUCGUCAGCUCGUGCCGUGAGGUGUCAGGUUAAGUCCUAUAACGAGCGCAACCCCUGUUGUUAGUUGCCAUCGAGUCAUGUCGGGAACUCUAACAAGACUGCCGGUGCAAACCGUGAGGAAGGUGGGGAUGACGUCAAAUCAUCACGGCCCUUACGUCCUGGGCUACACACGUGCUACAAUGGCCGGUACAGAGAGCAGCCACUACGCGAGUAGGCGCGAAUCUUCAAAGCCGGUCUCAGUUCGGAUUGAAGUCUGCAACUCGACUUCAUGAAGCUGGAAUCGCUAG
rnacentral:rRNA from 1 species